rnacentral:rRNA from 1 species
GAUGAACGCUGGCGGCGUGCCUAAUACAUGCAAGUCGAGCGAACAGAUGAGGAGCUUGCUCCUCUGACGUUAGCGGCGGACGGGUGAGUAACACGUGGAUAACCUACCUAUAAGACUGGGAUAACUUCGGGAAACCGGAGCUAAUACCGGAUAAUAUAUUGAACCGCAUGGUUCAAUAGUGAAAGACGGUUUUGCUGUCACUUAUAGAUGGAUCCGCGCUGCAUUAGCUAGUUGGUAAGGUAACGGCUUACCAAGGCAACGAUGCGUAGCCGACCUGAGAGGGUGAUCGGCCACACUGGAACUGAGACACGGUCCAGACUCCUACGGGAGGCAGCAGUAGGGAAUCUUCCGCAAUGGGCGAAAGCCUGACGGAGCAACGCCGCGUGAGUGAUGAAGGUCUUCGGAUCGUAAAACUCUGUUAUUAGGGAAGAACAAAUGUGUAAGUAACUAUGCACGUCUUGACGGUACCUAAUCAGAAAGCCACGGCUAACUACGUG